UACGUAGGCAGCGAGCGUUGUUCGGAAUUACUGGGCGUAAAGAGUGUGUAGGCGGUGCUCUAAGUUCGGUGUGAAAUCUCCCGGCUUAACUGGGAGGGUGCGCCGGAAACUGGAGUGCUCGAGCGUGGGAGAGGAAAGCGGAAUUCCUGGUGUAGCGGUGAAAUGCGUAGAUAUCAGGAGGAACACCUGCGGUGUAGACGGCUUUCUGGACCAUUGCUGGCGCUGAGACACGAAAGCGUGGGUAGCAAACAGG
rnacentral:rRNA from 1 species